rnacentral:rRNA from 1 species
CACGUAGGGCGCAAGCGUGUCCGGAAUUAUUGGGCGUAAAGAGCUCGUAGGCGGUCUGUUGCGUCCGCUGUGAAAACCCGGGGCUUAACCCCUGGCUUGCAGUGGAUACGGACAGACUAGAGGUAGGUAGGGGAGAAUGGAAUUCCCGGUGUAGCGGUGAAAUGCGCAGAUAUCGGGAGGAACACCGGUGGCGAAGGCGGUUCUCUGGGCCUUACCUGACGCUGAGGAGCGAAAGCGUGGGGAGCGAACAGG